UGGAAAACGGGAACUUUGAAUUAAGAAAAGAAUUGCUAGCAUCCUGGUUUUCAGCUAAAUUAUUCAAUAUUAGGCUUUAUUUCCAGAAAUAAGUGACUUGUAUAUGAAUGUCUGACCAUUCCUUCUAGUAAGUCAAUGUACUACUUGUAUUCUCAAUUAUGAGCCUUACCAUCUUGAAUCUCAGUCAUAUCCAUAUGCUAAAAUUGUGCUAGGUGAUAGGGAUCCAAAAAUGAAUGGUCCAUGAUCUCUGCACCAAAGAAAUUCAUUGUCUAUGAUGGCAAAUAAAAAUAACUUGAGCUAUAUUAUUGUGGUAAUAGUUAAACUUUUUGAAUUUAAUUAAUUUAACAAAUUUAAACUAAUUUUGAAUUCUUACAGAAAAUUAUGAAGAAAUUGAAGCAGGUCUAUAAUACAUUGUUUAGAUAAACUAUUCCAAGAUCAUACAGCUAUAGGAUGUUACUCAGGACUUGAACCUGCACAGUUUAUAAGACAGUUCUUGAAGUUCUGAAGAAUGACAGAGGAAGAAGGACCUGAGACCAAUGAUAGCUUCUGAGGGGAAAUCUUGUUUCAGCUUAGUCUUGAAGAAUGCACAGUAGACUCUGCAUCCCUGGUGGACAAGACAGGUAUUGUUCCUAUGUCCAUUCUCCAAUAAACCACAUGUUUACAAAUCACUAUCUCAGAGACGGUUUCCCAGGGAGGUCUACCUAAGAUCCCUAACUUACACCAUACCCACAAUCAGCUCCAGGUAAGUUAAAACGAAAGUACAGAAAGACAGAAAUAAUUUGUACAAGGUUACACAUCUGAACAAUGAUAUAGUUGAGAUUUAAACCCGAGAAGUCUGGCUCUAGAGUCCCUGCUCUUAAUCCCUAAUGGCAAAGAAAAUAAACCACCUAAGGCUGCAUAGAAUGUCAUGGGUGAAUUGCACAAACAUAUUGUGGAGCAAAUGAAGCAAGGUACAAAAAAUACAAACCGUAUGAUUUCACUUCCAUGAAGCACAAAACCAGGCAACAUAAGUUGCAUUGUUUAGGAAUGCAUACACAGAAAGUAAAGAUAAAAAGAAAGUCAAAGGAAUGACUAUGGAAAAAACCAGGUGGUGAUUACUCAAAGGAAAC
rnacentral:lncRNA from 1 species